rnacentral:rRNA from 1 species
AUUGAACGCUGGCGGCAGGCUUAACACAUGCAAGUCGAGCGGAGAGAGGUAGCUUGCUACUGAUCUUAGCGGCGGACGGGUGAGUAAUGCUUAGGAAUCUGCCUAUUAGCGGGGGACAACAUUUCGAAAGGAAUGCUAAUACCGCAUACGUCCUACGGGAGAAAGCAGGGGAUCUUCGGACCUUGCGCUAAUAGAUGAGCCUAAGUCGGAUUAGCUAGUUGGUGGGGUAAAGGCCUACCAAGGCGACGAUCUGUAGCGGGUCUGAGAGGAUGAUCCGCCACACUGGGACUGAGACACGGCCCAGACUCCUACGGGAGGCAGCAGUGGGGAGUAUUGGACAAUGGGCGGAAGCCUGAUCCAGCCAUGCCGCGUGUGUGAAGAAGGCCUUAUGGUUGUAAAGCACUUUAAGCGAGGAGGAGGCUACUUUAGUUAAUACCUAGAGAUAGUGGACGUUACUCGCAGAAUAAGCACCGGCUAACUCUGUGCCAGCAGCCGCAGUAACAC